UUCUGCAUUUCCUUCAAUAGCCUGGAUGUCUUGCCGUUAGUAGCCACGUCACUUUGUUUGUGGACACUCUGAGGAGCAGAUCCCUGCCCUGUGGCAUGGGGGGAUCAGGCUCUGAUAAGGUGCUGGAAUGAUCAUCCUGCUGUUCCUUGAGUGGCUUUCCAGACAUGUGGAGAGAAGCAGACACUUCCAGAGCGGAGCUGGGAAGGAGAGCAGAAAGAGGUGAAAUGGCUUUCCUUGCACAGAAAGGACCUGUGGAGCAGCCAGUGCCUGGAUAAGAAUCAUCUCAAUGCCUGGAUAAGAAUCAUCUCAGUGCCUGGAUAAGGAUCAUCUCAGUGCCUGGAUCAGGAUCAUCUCAGUGCCUGGAUAAGAAUCAUCUCAAUGCCUGGAUAAGAAUCAUCUCAGUGCCUGGAUAAGGAUCAUCUCAGUGCCUGGAUAAAAAUCAUCUCAGUGCCUUAGGCUGCCACGGUCCCAAGCUGUCCUUGAGGCUGAGGUAGUAGAUUGAAUAGUUGUGGAGUCUGGUCCUCCCUCUGAGCUAACUAUACAAUCUACUGUCUUUCCUAAGGAGACAGUCAGGUCUUCAGGUCUGCUCAUCCACUUCUACACCAGCUGUGGGGCAGGUGGUGCAAGCAAAGCAAAUCCGUGCCCGUGACCCGUCUGUUCUGCUCUGUGGAGGUGAGGUAGUAGGUUGUAUAGUUUGGUGGGAGGGAUUUGAUCCCAUUUCAGGUGAUAACUAUACAGUCUAUUGCCUUCCUUAAAGAGCAGCAAAACCACGGAGGAGCUCCCGAGGCAUCGCUUCUUUUGUUGAGGAUCCAAAAAAGCAGCAUGGCAUUGUUAAACAACUCAGUGGGUGUUUCUCUUACAGCAUCCAGAAUUGCAUUCUUCCAGGAAUUGCUUCAUGCCUCAGGCACUGGAGCAUGGAGCCACCUGCUUCCAGGGAACCUACUUCUCUUUAAGAUUCAAGAGAACCAGGGAAAUUACUUUGCACAGCAGCUCCCAGUGUUCAAUUCUACUCUUUUUUUUUUUUUUUUGCAGGAGAUGGGUUGAAGUUGUGAAGUGUUUAAAUGUGUUGAUCUUUUCUGGUCUGUCCUCAGGUCUGGAGGGGAGCAGAUACUUUUGUGUAAAUGGGACAGAUCUGAGCUCAUGAUUUAAUUUUUUUGUGCCCAGUUCUGAAGUUUGGGUUCAGAACCAGACCCAGGGGCAAGCUCAGCCUGUGAACUCAGAGCCCUGGGAGCUGAUCAGAUUUGGCUGCUUGGCCCCUGCUCAGGAAGUGCAUUUUGUUUUGGACAAGUUCCCAGCCUGUCCCAUGGAACAGAGUUAGAGGGUGGUUCUUUCUGAUCUGAUAAUCCCUUAUCAACUGAACUGCCUCACAUGCAAACCCUGUCAGGGAAGUUUGGGGCUCUUGGGUAUUUGCAUAGGAUGAACCAAUGAUUCAGACUAGAAUCUUGUUCUAAAGUGGAGACAGGUAAGGAGGAGACAUGAGGCAAAAGGAGCAGGUUCUAAUCCUUCUGGGUUCUCCCAGGGAGUCACCUGACAACAGACAUGUGAGAAGUCAUCACGCUUCAGAGCUCUGGCCCUUGGCAAGGGGCAGGGAACUGUUCAUUCUUCUGUUUCUUAGGAGCAGAUGGGGCUAUCCCUCUGCCUUUUUCCAGAGCAAGUAGGAUCGAGACCAGGAGUGGAGCUGUAACACGAUCAGGGCUGCACCAGGAAGGACAUUUCAGGCCAUUAUCACGACCAUCUUACUGCCAGGGAGAUGUGAGAUCCGAGACACCGGGGAGCGAGGGCAAGCAGAGGACACCUUCUCAGAUGAAGUGGGAGGGAGAGAGCCCAGAGAAAUUGGAGCCCUCAAAUUUCACCCUGAGCAAAGGCACAGGGAGAGGCAGACCUGGCUGCCGUGGGAGUCCCCAGGAUGAAGCAGCUCAUUUCAGGCCCCUCUGCUGGGACAGGGCGUAGCUGGGACACAGCUGCUGGGUGGGGAUGCUGCAGUUGCAAGCGGUGAAGGAAUGCAGCCCUCUCUCCAUAAAUCUGGCUUUUCAGCAGUCCUGGCGACUUGCUGUGCAAAACUACAGCUUGGUCCUCUGAGCUGCAUUAUUAUCCUCCAGCUGCUUGCUCAGGGGCAGGGCUCCUGCCCGCAGAUUGCCUGGAAGGUACCAAAAUAGCAGCAGAAGCAUGGGAACAGGGCACUAUCCACUUCAUCUGGAGAGGUGUCCCCUGGAAAAGAGCUAAUCCCACGUGUCCCAGAUGGAAUCCCUUCAGUCCCCCUCCAUGGCAUUGAUACUAACUCAGAGAAUCUCAAACAGUGGAACUGUGUGAGCUGGAAGCCAUGAAUAAAAUAUUACUGGAGAUAUUCCCUCAUGAAAAUAAACUUGGUUUGACUUUUUUAAAACAGA